rnacentral:rRNA from 1 species
UGGACGGGAAUAACCUCGGAAACUGAGUAUAAUGCCCGAUAGAACACUAUACCUGGAAUGGUUUGUGUUCCAAAUGAAUGUCGCCGUAGGAUGGGACUGCGGCCUAUCAGUUUGUUGGUGAGGUAAUGGCCCACCAAGACUAUUACAGGUACGGGCUCUGAGAGGAGUAGCCCGGAGAUGGGUACUGAGACACGGACCCAGGCCCUAUGGGGCGCAGCAGGCGAGAAAACUUUGCAAUGUGCGAAAGCACGACAAGGUUAAUCCGAGUGGUUUGUGCUAAACGAACCUUUUGACAGUCCUAGAAACACUGUUGAAUAAGGGGUGGGCAAGUUCUGGUGUCAGCCGCCGCGGUAAAACCAGCACCUCAAGUGGUCAGGAUGAUUAUUGGGCCUAAAGCAUCCGUAGCCGGCUCUGUAAGUUUUCGGUUAAAUCUGUACGCUCAACGUACAGGCUGCCGGGAAUACUGCAGAGCUAGGGAGUGGGAGAGGUAGACGGUACUCGGUAGGAAGGGGUAAAAUCCUUUGAUCUAUUGAUGACCACCUGUGGCGAAGGCGGUCUACCAGAACACGUCCGACGGUGAGGGAUGAAAGCUGGGGGAGCAAACCGGAUUAGAUACCCGGGUAGUCCCAGCUGUAAACUAUGCAAACUCAGUGAUGCAUUGGCUUGUGGCCAAUGCAGUGCUGCAGGGAAGCCGUUAAGUUUGCCGCCUGGGAAGUACGUACGCAAGUAUGAAACUUAAAGGAAUUGGCGGGGGAGCACCACAAGGGGUGAAGCCUGCGGUUC